rnacentral:lncRNA from 10 species
UUCAGUGACUUAUUUUCAUACAAAUUCAGAAUUACUUAGAAAAUGACUAGGCUAAAUUAGUAGAAUGUCUGAGUUAUUGAGCAUUUGUGGAAAGCUGCUGGCUUAUUACUUUCACUCACAUGUAGUAUCCAUUUGCUUGCCAACAAAAUACUGGUGCUACUGCUCUUAAAUAUAUAUUGCAUUUGCGAUUAAUAUAUUCAUUCUUGGGAUGGUAAUGUAUAUUGCUAUAGUCCUUGAAAACAGCUUUUUCCUCCUAGCUAACUUAAACCUUUUUACACAUUCUUAACCGCUUCUCUCUUCCCAUUCACCCAACCUUGUCACCAACUUGUGAUUUUAUUUGUGUUAUUAGUCGUCUCUUGGUAUCCAUGGGGGAUUGGUUCCGGGAUGCCCUGCGGAUGCUGAAGUUCUUUAUAAAAACAUGUACAUGCUCUCAUAUACUUUAAAUGAUCUCUAGAUUACUUGUGAUACUGAAUAUAAUAUAAGCGCUAUGUAAAUAGCUGUCAUAAUGUAUUGGUUUUUUAUUUGAUUAUUCUUAUGGUAUUGUAGUAUUAUUUUUUAUUUUUUCAAAUUUUUCAACCAGAGGUUGAUUGCAGAUGCGAAAUCCACAAAUAUGGAGGGCCAACUAAUUUUUAAAGCUAUAUUUAAUAAACAUUUGUUUAACCCUUGUUAAUUGUCAUGAAAUUUAAAUUAGUGGAUUCGAGUUGAAAGAAAUUUUAAUGUGGUUCCAAAGUUCACUUAAAAGGGUGAAAACUACUCACCUUUGACAACAGACAGUUUAUAUCAUAUUUUAUUCCAUCCCCAUAAUAACCUGUCAAAUAAAGAGUAAUACAGGCAGUAAAUAGUACCUUUAGUAAAUAAGUAAGCAUUAAAAAUUACUGUUUAGUGCAGGUGUGCUACGUGGUAGGCAUGGUACCAAGCACUUUUAUAUAAUUCUCACUUACUUUUCAUAUCGACUCUAAGAUGUAGGUUUUAUUAUUUUUUCAUUUGCAGAGAAGGAAACUCAGGGUCAUUUAAUGAUUUGUCACACAACUAACUAUACAGCAAGUUAGUAUUACAGAAAGAAAAUCUAGAGAUUCUCUCCUACUAAGACUGCUGGAUAUAUUUGGAAUGAGUACUUUACAGCAUCAUUGUACAACAUCCUGAUUUCAGGGUUGUGACCAAAUCUGACACUCGUCCUUCCUUAAAAGCCUUGAAAUAGAGGGAGCUGAGAGCUAUGGGACAUCCUGGAAAAAUGGCUCUGUAACUUUGGCUUUGAUGUUCCAAACAUAUAGCAAUGAUUGAUAAAAUAUAAAGAUAGAAAAACAAAUGGACUUAGUCAAGUCCAAAACAGUUCUUCGUCUUUGAGAUCCAGAAACCAAAUAAGAAAACCACAUGGUUAUUAAGGCUAAAGCCAGGGGUCUGCUGAACAUUUUCCAGCAAUAGAAAGUGGUAAUUAGGGUUUAAUCCCUAUGGAACAAAUCCAGAUCCACUAUUUGAAGCAGGGCCUGGGAGGAAAUUUCUUGUUCACAGCAAGAGACUGGGAAAAAGUAAUUCUGUUGACCACUACCAGGAACUAGGAUUUUUACCUGGAGGAUUGAAGGAGUAGGAAGGAAGACACGGUUUUGUGACAUAAAACUGAAUUACCCAUGUGUUGCCUCUGUGAUUUACCUUGCAAUGUCUCUCUAUCCCUGCAGCACAGCAGAUAGGCAGCAAAUGCCCCUCUGAGACCCAGCUCUGGUACAGUAGCCUGGGAUGCCCUAGUAGAACCAAUGGCGAAACUACUAGAAAGGGAGAAAUGAGCACAUAGAAAAAAAAAAAAUCACUACAAAUGGGCUUUCAACCAAGAUUCCAAAGUAUGUGAAUGAAUCAAACACUAGUAAAGC